UCGGAUUGCAGUCUGCAACUCGACUGCAUGAAGCCGGAAUCGCUAGUAAUCGCGGAUCAGAAUGCCGCGGUGAAUACGUUCCCGGGUCUUGUACACACCGCCCGUCACACCAUGGGAGUCGGAAAUGCCCGAAGCCGGUGGCCUAACCGAUAAGGGAGGAGCCGUCGAAGGCAGGUCUGAUGACUGGGGUGAAGUCGUAACAAGGUAUC
rnacentral:rRNA from 1 species